CAGCGCUUCGUCCACCUUCCUGGCCUGGCAGUGCCCGUUAUCCUGGGCAGAGACUUCAUCAUCCGGCAGAAAUUUGUGCUGGAUGCCCAGUGGAGGAUACGUCUACCACGGAUCGUCAGGAUUUUUUCCUUUCGCCGUGCCACAGGACAGCAGUUCAACUAUGCCAUCCGCAGCGACGGCUGUUGAACCGUCCCCGCUCCCGACUGUCUUGGGGUCAUUCCAUAGUCCCGAGGAGGAGAGCCGUGAGCUUGAACAAGUACUGCUGCAGUUUGACGGUGUGUUCACGAAAAAACUCGGUAAGUCGUCUGUGUUACAGCAUAGCAUAGACACGGGUAACGGUAGGUCCUGGCGUUGUAAUCCGAGACCAUUGAGUGUGCAUAAGCGUGCUUUGUUAGACACUGCUCUUGAUGAAAUGCUGCAAACCGGUGUAGUUCAAAGGUCCCAGAGCCCUUGGGCAUUUCCUGUCGUCCUGGCUCCGAAACGUAAUGGUACGGCUAGGUUAUGCGUCGACUACCGUCGACUUAACGCAGUAACUGUAAGGGACUCUUACUCCUUUCCGUCCAUCGAGUCUAUUAUGCAUUUUCUGGGCAACGCUACAGUGUUUUCAACGCUUGAUUGUAGUAGAGGGUUUUUGCAAAUCCAAGUUGCCCCGGAGGAUGUCCCGAAAACAGCCUUUACCUGUCAUAGGGGUUUGUUUGAGUUUGUACGGAUGCCUUUCGGUCUGUCUAACUCUCCCGUCAGUUUCCAACGGCUAAUGGAUACCGUAUUGAGGGAUGCGAAGUAUAACUUCGCGAUGGCGUGCAUGGAUGACGUCGUAGUGUUUUCCAGAAACUUUCAGGAACACUUGGAACACUUGUCAAUCGUCCUUGCAAGGAUGAAGCAGGCGGGGCUAACCAUCAACCCCCGCAAGGUGCAGCUGGCAUCGCCAAGGGUCAGCCUUCUUGGCUUCAUGGUGGACGGAGGAUCCAUCAGCCCUAGCGAUGGCAAGCUAAAGGCGAUCAUGCAGUAUCCGGUUCCCGGUAACGUAAAAGCCUUGCAGCGUUUCUUGCGUAUGGUUGGUUUCUACAGACAAUUCAUUCCUAAUUGCGCUCAGUUAGCGCAGCCGCUUAAUCAGUUGUUACGCAACGAUAUACCCUGGCAGUGGGGAGAGGAGCACGAACGAUCAUUUCGAGCUCUUUCUCCCGCAAUCGCUAAUACGGCCAGGCUAUAUUUGCCUGACCUGAACAAACCGUUUGUAGUGCAAACACAUGCUAGUGAUUAUGGUGUUGGCGCAGUUCUCUUGCAGGAGCAUGACGCUAUUCUCUGUCCAGUGGCUUUUGCAAGUCGCACGCUGAAUCCGGCAGAACGGAAUUACUCGGUCACGGAAAAGGAAUGCUUGGCGAUCAUCUUCGCUCUCAGGAAGUUUGAUCUGUACCUGGACGGCACCACUUUCACCGCCCAGACUGACCACCAGCACUUUCUUGGCUGCAGCGGCUCCGCAACCCAUCUGGACGUCUUGGCAUGUGGGCCCUGACGCUACAAGGCUACUCCUUCAACGUGGAGUACAGGCGGGGCUCGACGAACGUGGUAGCAACGAAGCACGGGACGAACGCUUUCCCGUGAGCCUCUACCGGAGGGGGGAGAGGAAGGCACCGAGGCGCCUUCCCAGCUCCUGGCAGCAGCACAAGUGGCACGAGACAUAUCUUCGUCUUGGGGCACGGUCGUGAGCAGAGAGCAGCUCCUAGACGCUCAGAGAGCGGACGCCCUUUGUCAGCGGGUGUCUCAAUGGUUAGCUGAGCAGGACUCGGCAGGCACCGGAAUGACUGACUGACGGACGGCACGACUCGUAUCUGCUGGGCGAGGAUGGCAUCUUGUUCAGAUACAUACCCCAGGCGGAUGACGAUGACUGCUCAUCUCCAUUCAGAGUCGUGGUGCCACGGAAGUUGCGACGCUGACUUCCCAGAGACUGUGGGAAAGGCUACUCGACACCUUUUGCCGGUUCGGGUUUCCUGCUCAGCUCAUCACAGAUAACGCUACCCUACCUACUUUACAGGCUAACAUUACCGAACGUGUCAAUCGGAACCUGAAAAUGAUGUUGGCUGCUUUUACUAGUCAUCACCACCGUGAUUGGGAUCUUCGCAUGGCUGAACUGGCGUUCACUACACGGACAACAGUAAACAGAUCUACAGGCUUCACCCCGGCGUUCCUGAACUUCGGACGAGAGGCACCUUUUCCAGUGGAGAAUGCUCUACGCCUCCGGGAUGGCAGUACCUAGCCUCCUUAUUCAAGGUUCGCUGAGGAACUCCGGAGUCGACUGGACGGUGCAGCUCGAACGGCUCGGGAGAAUCUGGACGUCGCAUGGUUGGACCAGGCUCGCCAGUACAACCGAGGUCGACGGAACUUCACCUAUAGCGUCGGUGACCUCGUCCUACGACGGACCCAUCCGCUAAGUGAUUCCGCACGCGGCUUUGCAGCUUCACUCGCAGAUAGGUGGGAUAGCCCCCUUCGAGGUAGGUGCGUGCUCCUCCGGCCUCACUUACAGGCUUCGUCGUUGUGACACGGGCGAAGAAAUUCGGCCAGUACAUACCUCGAACCUGAAGACUUACCACCUCCGAAACCCCGAGGGUGAAGAAGCAGACGGUCAGCUUCCUCCUCAAGACCUGGACCAGGAUCCCGGACCCUCCAGUCGCUACAGUUUACGUCCCCGCAGGCGGCGCACGUAGCUGCCACUAUCCUAGUCGCUAAAUCCUAGUGCUCUUGUAUAGUUGGUCUUUCUUAGUGUGAUUUAUGUCUCGCAGUCUUCAGCUAUAGUCUUCUGAGGGAGAGCCUUUUCAGGCUC